rnacentral:rRNA from 1 species
UGGGGAAUAUUGGGCAAUGGGUGAGAGCCUGACCCAGCCAUGCCGCGUGCCGGAAGACGGCCCUCUGGGUUGUAAACGGCUUUUAUACAGGAACAAAAGGGCCCUGCGGGGCAGAUUGCGUGUACUAUACGAAUAAGCACCGGCUAACUCCGUGCCAGCAGCCGCGGUAAUACGGAGGGUGCAAGCGUUGUCCGGAUUUAUUGGGUUUAAAGGGUACGUAGGCGGAAGGCUAAGUCCGGGGUGAAAGCCCGCAGCUCAACUGCGGAACUGCCCUGGAUACUGGUCAUCUUGAGUGCCGUAGAGGUAGGCGGAAUUCAUGGUGUAGCGGUGAAAUGCAUAGAUACCAUGAGGAACACCGAUAGGGAAGCCAGCUCACUAGACGGUCACUGACGCUGAGGUACGAAAGCGUGGGGAGCGAACAGGAUUAGAUACCCCGGUAGUCC